UACGUAUGGUGCAAGCGUUAUCCGGAUUUACUGGGCGUAAAGGGAGCGCAGGCGGUGCGCCAAGUCUGAUGUGAAACCCCGGGGCUCAACCCCGGGCAUGCAUUGGAAACUGGCGGGCUGGAGUGCCGGAGAGGUAAGCGGAAUUCCUAGUGUAGCGGUGAAAUGCGUAGAUAUUAGGAGGAACACCAGUGGCGAAGGCGGCCUACUGGACGGUGACUGACGCUGAGGCUCGAAAGCGUGGGGAGCAAACAGG
rnacentral:rRNA from 1 species